CAUUUUUUUAUUCUUUUAAGAAAAAAGGGCAAAAAACUUUGCGAGGGUAAUAAAGUCAUUUAAAUAUGUAAACAUGGUGCUUUGAUGGUCACCUACAAUACCAUUACCAUUCAAUUAUUCACGAUUGUUCCAGCAGACCGUGCCAACGCACUUCCCCGCAAAGUCUCCGAUCGCCCGCCGGCCGUCCGGCGUAUUUGUCUCCUUUCUCCGAUCAAUUGAAGGUAUUUGUGAAGUUUGCGAAGGGGCAGAAUGAGUCAGGUAUUUGAAGGAUAUGAAAGACAGUACUGUGAGCUUUCAGCUAAUUUAACCAAGAAAUGUAGCUCUGCUACUCUCCUUGAUGGAGAACAAAAGAAACAGAAAGUAUCUGAAA